rnacentral:lncRNA from 1 species
CUGUUUAAGAAAAUAAAAUAAUCAGAAAAAUCUAAAUGCAAUAAAGGAAGUAAAACAUGUAACAUUACUUAAAACAGUUACUCUAACAGAUUGAAUAUAGCCUUCCCAUCACUUAGAAGACUCAACAAAUUCAUAUGUAACUGCAAUAUUCUGUGGCAGGGACUCAACAUUGUUAUUUUCUCACAUGAAAUAAAGUCUCUGGGCCAGGUGAGAUGGCGUAUGCCUGUGGUCCCAGGUACUCGGGGGCUGAGGCAGGAGGACUGCUUGAACCCAGGACUUGUGAGUCCAGCCUAGCAAACAUAGCGAGAUCCACACCCCUUUAAAAAAAGUCACCGACUUUGCCAAAGUUGUCCCCUGAAUUUUCUUCUGGGGUAGGGGUGGUGGUGUGAGGACCCAGAGAGUAAAAUAAAAAUGAGAUAAAACGUGCAGAAAGAAACAAAGCUCACAGCAUUCUUACGCCAACAAGCUUUACCUUCUGUUGUUUGCAAUCCUUCAAAACAAGGAAGGAAGAGUACAGCGGCAGCUGCAGAAGCAGGUCAUUUUAAGAACUAGAUCGGAACAAAAGUUAAAUUCAUGUUCUAAAAUGACAGUGGUGCCGGGUGCGGUGGCUCACACCUGUAAUCUCAGCACUUUGGCAGGCCAACCGAGGCAGAUCACCUGAGAUCAGGAGUUCAAGACCAGCCUGGCCAACAUGGAGAAACCCCCUCUCUACUAAAAAUACAAAAUUAGCCGGGUAUGGUUGCGCAUGCCUGUAAUCACAGCUACUCAGGUGGCUGAGGCAGGAGAAUCACUUGUGCCCAGAAGGCAGAGGUUGUGAUGAGCCGAGAUCACUCCAGCCUGAGCAACAAGAGCGAAACUCCCACCUCAAAAAAAAAAAAAAAGACAGUGGGCUGGAAACCAAUUUCUUCAUAAUAAAUGGGAUGGUCACUUUAGGUAUGAAAAUAUUUUUAUGUUGUGGUCUUGAAAUAAUUUUAUCAGUUCACAAUUUCAGUUUUCAAAUGCAUUAGACUCACUGGGGCAAUACACAGCUAUUCUUCACAAAGGUAGUACAUUGUCAAAACUGUCACUUAUUGCUAAACUGUAAUUAUGUAAGUUUUACUUCAAGAUCCUUCAAUUUGCAUUCCUCUAUUGAUAAUUUCAGGAAUAAUACACAGAUUAAAAAAAAAGUGGUACAGGUGAAUUUAAAAGAAGGAACUAAAAC